rnacentral:rRNA from 1 species
AUUGAACGCUGGCGGCAUGCUUUACACAUGCAAGUCGAACGGUAACAGGCCUUCGGGUGCUGACGAGUGGCGAACGGGAGAGUAAUGCAUCGGAACGUACCCAGAGGUGGGGGAUAACGCAGCGCAAGCUGUGCUAAUACCGCAUGUGAUCUGAGGAUGAAAGCGGGGGACCGAGCAGCAAUGUUUGGCCUCGCGCCUUUGGAGCGGCCGAUGUCGGAUUAGCUAGUUGGUGGGGUAAAGGCCUACCAAGGCGACGAUCCGUAGCUGGUCUGAGAGGACGACCAGCCACACUGGGACUGGGACACGGCCCAGACUCCUACGGGAGGCAGCAGUGGGGAAUUGUGGACAAGGGGCGCAAGCCUGAUCCAGCAAUGCCGCGGGCGGGAAGAAGGCCUUCGGGUUGUAAACCGUUUUUGGCAGGAACGAAACGGUGUCCGCUAAUACCGGGCGCUAAUGACGGUACCUGCAGAAUAAGCACCGGCUAACUACGUG